ACAAACAAUCACUUCAGGCAUAACCACCAUUAAUCUAAGGCACCAUAAGAUAUGGAAUCUGACCAGAAAUGUCUAUAAUGAUCCAGGACUAACAAACAGGGGGAAAAGUAAUAGAAACUGCCAACAAAGGAGUCAAGUCUGCUUGCAAUCUUCACUCAUUUUCAUGAUAGAAUAUUGUCCAAACUUGCUUAAUAUGCAACCAGAAAUAGCUAGAGAGUGAUGGUAUAAAUCUGCAUAGCCAAAUAAGCAAGAGAUGGACCACUAAACCUUGCAUAGAAUCUCAUAUAUAUCAAGAUCAGAGAUAGUAACUAAAUUCCCAAACUUGUGGAAAACAGGAUAAUGACAAUAGCACACAAACUCUUCAAAUAUUUCACCCAAAAUGAAGACCAAUGUUCCUCAAAAGUAUUAACAUAAAUCUGUCACAUGACACAAUCCAAACUUCACCUCAAGGGACAUGUAACUCAAGAACUCACUCAUGGAUUUGACAAGCUUCGUGAAUGGACAUCAAGAAAUAGUGAAUUGCCCAAUCUAACCAAUCAAUAACCCAAAUAAAACAAUGUUGCAGCAGAGACCGGAACCCACUAAUUCUCAAAAUAGUGCUAUUUGAGACCAAUUGCUAUAAGAAUGCUCCAUUCAAUGCUAUAAGGAAUGCUCCAUCAGCAAUCUCAAAUCCAAUCAACAACAGUAUAGCAACAGAGUAUUGUAUAUGCAAUACUUCCACUAAACCAAAUGCACAAAUCCAAUUAACAAUGAAACACUUAAGAGAACCUGAACAAAAACUACAAUAUACAUUUGUGCAGAACACUUGAAUGCAUAAAAUCCCAACAAAUCAAAGGUAGCAAGAUCAAAGAGUGAUUCUUGUAAGCAAAGAAAUCUUAUCCAAGUAAGCAACGUUGUUUGCUUACAAGUUCUACCUGAAUCAUCAUUUUACUUUCACUUAAGACUUUCC
rnacentral:lncRNA from 1 species